AAAAUUUUAAGUUAAAAUUAAAAACUAUUAAUUUUCAAAGUUAAAAAUAUAUUAAAUAAAUUUUA
rnacentral:tRNA from 1 species